GUGCUCACUUUGGCAACACACAUACUAAAAUUGGAACGAUACAGUGAAGAUUAACAUGACUCCUGCACAAAGAUGACACAUAAAUUCGUGAAGCAUUCCAUAUUUUC